rnacentral:rRNA from 1 species
AAUAGACUACCCCGGUAGUCCUAGCCGUAAACGAUGAGCACUGGGUUGAAGGGUCCUCCAUAGCCUUUCAGCCGUAGCGAAAGUGUUAAGUGCGUCCGCCUGGGGAGUACGGGUCGCAAGGCUGAAACUCAAAGAAAUUGACGGGGGGCUCACACAAGCGGUGGAGGAUGUGGCUUAAUUCGAGGCUACGCGAAGAACCUUAUCCUAGUCUUGACAUGCACGGAUUAACCCCUGGAAACAGGGGCCACGCCUUCGGGUGGAACGUGCACAGGUGCUGCAUGGCUGUCGUCAGCUCGUGCUGUGAAGUGUCGGGUUAAGUCCCUUAACGAGCGAAACCCUUGUCGCUAGUUGCCAGCGAGUCAUGUCGGGGACUCUAGCGAGACCGCCGGUGUUAAACCGGAGGAAGGUGGGGAUGACGUCAAGUCCUCAUGGCCUUUAUGACUAGGGCUGCACACGUCCUACAAUGGCAUGCACAAAAGGGCGCAAAGUCGCGAGACCAAGCAAAUCCCAAAAAACAUGCCCCAGUUCGGAUUGCAGG